CAGGGUGAAAUGCAGUGUGCAGUGUGCAGUGCAGGACCUCUCGACCCAAGCUGCCUCUGCAGUGACUCUGGUGCGUGAUGAGCAGAGGUGGUGUGGAUGAUACUGGCUGCACUGUUGGAGCUUGGACUCGGAGAGGAACACGUGAGCACAAUCCUGAUGAUGAGCCUGGCAAUUGACUAAGAUGACAAUCAGUG